rnacentral:rRNA from 1 species
GACAGAGGUCUCAAGCGUUGUUCGGAUUCAUUGGGCGUAAAGGGUGCGUAGGCGGCGCGGUAAGUCGGGUGUGAAAUCUUGGAGCUUAACUCCGAAACUGCAUUCGAUACUGCCGUGCUUGAGGACUGGAGAGGAGACUGGAAUUUACGGUGUAGCGGUGAAAUGCGUAGAUAUCGUAAGGAAGACCAGUGGCGAAGGCGGGUCUCUGGACAGUUCCUGACGCUGAGGCACGAAGGCCAGGGGAGCAAACGGG